ACUGCACAGAGAGGGAGAGCUGCACAGCACCCCUUCAGCGAAGUGGGAGGAGGAACAGAAGGGUCUCCGUUCCUCUUCCCGCUUCACUGAAGGGGCGCUGCACAGCUCUCCCUCUCUGCGCAGU